GAUGACGGGAGCUUGCUCCUUGAUUCAGCGGCCGACGGGUGAGUAAUGCCUAGGAAUCUGCCUGGUAGUGGGGGACAACGUUUCGAAAGGAACGCUGAUACCGCAUACGUCCUACGGGAGAAAGCAGGGGACCUUCGGGCCUUGCGCUAUCAGAUGAGCCUAGGUCGGAUUAGCUAGUUGGUGAGGUAAUGGCUCACCAAGGCGACGAUCCGUAACUGGUCUGAGAGGAUGAUCAGUCACACUGGAACUGAGACACGGUCCAGACUCCUACCGGAGGCAGCAGUGGGGAAUAUUGGACAAUGGGCGAAAGCCUGAUCCAGCCAUGCCGCGUGUGUGAAGAAGGUCUUCCGAUUGUAAAGCACUUUAAGUUGGGAGGAAGGGCAGUAAGCUAAUACCUUGCUGUUUUGACGUUACCGACGUAAUAAGCGCCGGCUAACUCUGUGCCAGCAGCCGCGGUAAUACAGAGGGUGCAAGCGUUAAUCGGAAUUACUGGGCGUAAAGCGCGCGUAGGUGGUUCGUUAAGUUGGAUGUGAAAGCCCCGGGGUCAACCUGGGAACUGCAUCCAAAACUGGCGAGCUAGAGUACGGUAGAGGGUGGUGGAAUUUCCUGUGUAGCGGUGAAAUGCGUAUAUAUAGGAAUGAACACCAGUGGCGAAGGCGGCUACCUGGACUGAUACUGACACUGAGGUGCGAAAGCGUGGGGAGCAAACAAGAGUAG
rnacentral:rRNA from 1 species